CUACGGGGCGCUGCAGUGGGGAAUAUUGCACAAUGGACGAAAGUCUGAUGCAGCAACGCCGCGUGGAGGAUGACACAUUUCGGUGCGUAAACUCCUUUUAUAUAAGAAGAUAAUGACGGUAUUAUAUGAAUAAGCACCGGCUAACUCCGUGCCAGCAGCCGCGGUAAUACGGGGGGUGCAAGCGUUACUCGGAAUCACUGGGCGUAAAGCGCAUGUAGGCGGACUUGUAAGUUGGAAGUGAAAUCCUAUGGCUCAACCAUAGAACUGCUUCCAAAACUGCUUGUCUAGAAUAUGGGAGAGGUAGAUGGAAUUUCUGGUGUAGGGGUAAAAUCCGUAGAGAUCAGAAGGAAUACCGAUAGCGAAGGCGAUCUACUGGAACAUUAUUGACGCUCAGAUGCGAAAGCGUGGGGAGCAAACAGGAUUAGAUACCCUCGUAGUC
rnacentral:rRNA from 1 species